rnacentral:lncRNA from 1 species
GAAAAUUUCUAAUCAGACUUUUCUGCUUUUCAGGCUAUUGCUGAAACCCAGGAUGUGUGAACACAGGGUCUGGCACAACUCAGCUCUCCCACUAGAUGUGAUGAUUCUCUUCCAGAGAUAAAAUCUGCUACUCAAAUGAUGCUAAUAAGGUCACAACAUCUCCAGAAGAACUCCUGCAGAGGCAAUUCCAUUGAGGUCAACAAUUACGAUGGUUCAACCUACUCCCACAGGCAAAUAAAGCUCUCUACAAAAACUGAUAGCAAAAAUACACAUGUACCUGCAUUUAUCUUUCUAUUGUGUAUGACAGACAACUGAUGUUGAAAACAGAUGUAGUUUGAAAGCGCUUCUAGUGGUAAAUAUGAUCUUGGAUGUAUGCCAAGCAGUAGUUGCAUUACUGGAAUUUUCUUGACAUGAUAAGGUUUUUGAGAGUCUGUUUUAAGUCAGUGACUGAAGCUGUUGUCAGGCUCCCUAACAUUUCUAUGGCAUAAGGAAGUAACAGUAUUUAUUAUUGGCUGCACCACCAAAAACACUGAAGUCUUCCAAUGUGUUUUGACAACCUCUUUGUAUCUCUUUCAUGGUGGCUGGAAAAAAAUAUUGAUAGAUGUUCCAGUUACAAAUAUUAAAUGCUCUUUAUAUUAGCCCAAAAGAGAAGGUGAUCUUUAAUGUGUUUGUUGAAGAACGUGGAAAACAGUUCUGUACAUCACCAGUACCCAUCACAAUAAAUUUGCAGCUUUAGGCA